rnacentral:tRNA from 1 species
GGGCCGGUAGCUCAGCCUGGAAGAGCGACGGGCGCGACCCGGAGGACCCGGGUUCAAAUCCCGGCCGGCCCGCCA